GCUAACGAGUAAUCUGUUGAUUUAUUUGUCUAUGCAUUACAUGCUUAUUGCAAAAGCCCAGGUGGAAUCUGUGGAAAAUCUACCAAACAUGGUCAAAUGUGUUAAACAAAGUACUUCUAAGUAGCUGACAGCCAUACAACAUACUUAAGAAUGAAACAUACAACGGUCAAAAGAUGUGUAGCAUAGCAAAGCACUAACAACCACAGCAACUGCAUAGCAACACCUUGGCGAUCAGUUUCGCUUGUCUGAAACAUCAACAUCAAAAUCCGGUCCAGAUGCACUGCAUUUUCCCACACUACAUUAACUCUUUUGUUUAUUGACAGAAACUUUUAAGGUUAUUAUUUUGUACUCAAUUCUUCAAGGGAACUCUGUAACAAAACAGGCACCCCUUUGAGAGUCCCUUCCGAAAAAAAACAUCUGGAUCGACCACAUUCUCUUGCAUGUGGCUUGAAUUGUGGCAGAGUGGAUUUGUACACUCAGAGGACUUUGGUUUAUGAGCAAGGGCAAUAACAUGCGGCCAUUAAAGAUAGCGGUAAACACUGUAAAAAAAAAGUUAAGUUUAGAACUUAACAUUUUUUUUGCGUUGCUUUUUUAAUAGUUGAAAUCAUCAGCAUAUUUGCCUUAAACAAUCAAUAUUUUUAUAUUUGUUAUAUUUUAAAAGCAAAUGUAAAUCUUUACUUAUGUAUAAAUGCAGUCCCUUGCCUGACGGAUUAAACUAAAAUACAAAAAUAUAUACAUUUUCAAAGUUAAUAAAUAAAACAAAGAUUGGAGUAUGCUUUUUGUUUACAUUCAACUCAUUACUUUAAUUAUGUGUGAAAUGUAUCAAUUUCUAAAUGAUUUUUUUUUAAUGAUUUUUUCAGUGUAGUGAUUGGGCAGAAAAGCCACAAAAGACCAAAAAGUACAAAACAACAUGAUGAACAUCUGCUAGCUGAGCAGAAUGCAAAGCUGCAUCUUUGGCUCCGAGUUACUGGCAUCCUGGAGAGAUGUUAAAAGUCCAGAUUUCAGACCUUUCGGCCUGCUCCCUCUAGGAUGCCAGUUACAAAGAAAGCUUUACAGAGAGUGGAAGAGAAAAAAAACACAACUUGAUGAACAUGUGCAUAGACUAGGAGCAAUACAUGUUGUGUUCACACUACAUUCUCUUUACAUCUGCCUAGUGAUCAACACUGCUGUGCAAUUGUUUGAGGAUUUUCCACAUUUUCCUUUAUAGAUAAGCUGAAGUUAUAGUCAAAACGACUGACUAUGCAAGACUGUAAUGACAAAGCUUUCCAGUAGUGCCAUGAGUCAGAGACAGACACUCAAAACAAAUGAAAUGCCUAAAAGCGGAAAUGACAAAUCACUCCUCUAAGUACGAUAUAUUUAUAGUCACUCAAAAAUACAAAAACGAACACAACACAUCUGCUUGAAGAAAAAAAUAUAUAUACAUAUUUAACUAAAAUUAAAACUAAAAUAUAAUUAACCCCAUAAAAUAAAAACAUUUCCAAAACUUGAAAUAAAAUAAACGUUAAC
rnacentral:lncRNA from 1 species